GCUCGUUUGGCAUAGCGGUAAUGCAUCCCAUUCGAAUCUUAUAACGAGUGAGGGAACGACUGGUUCGACUCCAGUAGCGAGCA
rnacentral:tRNA from 1 species